CUCGCUCAGGAGCUUCAUGCACAGGACACUGGGUGGGGACAAGGGUAGAAGCUGAAAACCAGUCAGGAGGCCGUUCUAAUAACCCAGGUUCUCGAGGCUGCUGCAGUCCUUGGCUCAUGGCCCCACAUCACUCCGACCUCUGCUUCCAUUGUCACAACUCCCCUUCUGUCUCUCUCUUAUAAGGACACUUGUGAUCACGUCGGGCACCAGGAUGACUAGGCUCCCCUCCGCAUCUUCAGAUCCUCAAUUUAAUCACAUCUGCAAAGUCCUUUUUGCCUGUCUCACAUGAGGAAGCUUCUCUGGUCACCUGAUCAGCAUUUAUCACAUCGUUUCCAUGAGAAAAAUGCAUUUCAAGUUCCUACGUUUCCGCUUGUCAACACAUCCAUUAGAAAAGAAGGGACUGCCAGUUGUAUGAAACCGUGGUGCAUUUGGUUGAAAUGGAAAAUUCAAAUCUGCCUUGGAGGCAUUUCAAAUUCUCCAUAUUUAUGCCAUGGGACAGUGAACUAAAACCUGAAUUCUCCUUCCACAUUUUCAGUUUGCAUUCACAGGUCUGGAGUUAGAAACAACCCGGUGUGGUGCCAAGCCUAGGUUUUAAUGUCUAGAGGGGAAACAACUGCGAACUUCUGAACAAGGUUAUCCUGGCUU
ensembl:lncRNA